AACAGCGUCCGUCCGGGAAACCGGACCCAAAACAAGGUGCUGCAUGGCUGUCGUCAGCUCGUGUCGUGAGAUGUUGGGUUAAGUCCCGCAACGAGCGCAACCCUUAACUUCAGUUGCCAUCAUUAAGUUGGGAACUCUGGAGUGACUGCCGUUGAUAAAACGGAGGAAGGUGGGGAUGAUGUCAAGUCAUCAUGGCCUUUAUGCUUAGGGCUACACACGUGCUACAAUGGACGGUACAAAACGUCGCAAUCUCGCAAGAGGGAGCUAAUCGCU
rnacentral:rRNA from 1 species